UGGAACCUGAGUACAGAAAGAUUCAUAUUAGAGGGAAGGAUGAGAAAGAGUACAAUAUAAAAUGCCCCCUUUACUGGUGGCAGAUGCAGACAGCUGUAGGAUUCAUGCACAAUAUUGGCAAAGGCUAAAUCUUCCUUUUCUGAACAGCCUAUAGCACUGAAGACUGUCCCGGAGUCCAAUGAGUGCAUGCUGGGGCUGUUGCAAUCUUUCGAUUUUGAGGUUGUGUCUCCCCUUGCUGCGGGUCUGGGGCAUUGCAGCCGGGCCAUCAAGAGGAAGCAUAUAAAGCACAAGACUGAAUCUGUGGAUAAUUACUUGAACCUACCAGUUCUUUUCGGUCAGGAUGGUGUGAGAGAGCUGAGGGCGUGACAUGGACAUGAUCUGGCUGCGCAGUCUGCUGAUCAGGGAAUGAAAACUGGGAUGCCCUUUGUAUGCCGGCAGGAGGGAGAAGAGAGGGAUUCCACUGGUGCCUGAAAAAUAUACAGCAUGAAAUUUUAAUUUCUACUUUGAACAAAAAAGGGGAAUAUACAUUCACAAAACAACUUCAAAUUAAAGUGGUACAGCCUGG